GAUGAACGCUAGCGGGAGGCUUAACACAUGCAAGUCGAGGGGCAGCAUAGGGUAGCAAUACUCUGAUGGCGACCGGCAAACGGGUGAGUAACGCGUAUGCAACCUACCCUGUACAGGGGGAUAACCCGGAGAAAUUCGGACUAAUAUCCCGUAAUAAUAUCCGGAGGCAUCUUUGGAUAUUUAAAGUUCCGACGGUACGGGAUGGGCAUGCGUAACAUUAGCUGGUUGGUAAGGUAACGGCUUACCAAGGCUAUGAUGUUUAGGGGUCCUGAGAGGGUGGUCCCCCACACUGGUACUGAGACACGGACCAGACUCCUACGGGGAGGCAGCAGUGAGGAAUAUUGGUCAAUGGGCGCAAGCCUGAACCAGCCAUCCCGCGUGCAGGAAGACGGCCCUAUGGGUUGUAAACUGCUUUUCCAGGGAGAGAAACUUACGCACGUGUUGCGUGACUGACGGUACCCUGGGAAUAAGCAUCGGCUAACUCCGUGCCAGCAGCCGCGGUAAUAUCACGUG
rnacentral:rRNA from 1 species